UACGAAGGUCCCAAGCGUUAUCCGGAUUUAUUGGGUUUAAAGGGUGCGUAGGCGGAUUAUUAAGUCAGUGGUGAAAGCCCCAGGCCUAACCUGGGAAUUGCCAUUGAUACUGAUGAUCUUGAGUACAUUUGAGGCGGGCGGAAUGUGUCAUGUAGCGGUGAAAUGCUUAGAUAUGACACAGAACACCGAUUGCGUAGGCAGCUCGCUAAACUGUAACUGACGCUGAGGCACGAAAGCGUGGGGAGCAAACAGG
rnacentral:rRNA from 1 species